rnacentral:rRNA from 1 species
GAGGAAGUAAAAGUCGUAACAAGGUUUCCGUAGGUGAACCUG